rnacentral:tRNA from 1 species
GCGCACUUGGCGAAAUUGGUAUACGCUUGUGACUUAAAAUCACAUCCUUACUUAGGUUAUCGGUUCGAGUCCGAUAGUGCGUA